UGUCUAUCAUUAAAGGCAAUAGUUUCGUGUUCCUAUUUCCUGUUGAUAUCUGUACCCUUUUAUUUGGAAACAGUUUUGAAAAAAACUUCAUGUUGUUGGUUUGAUUUGGCCUAAAAUAUGUGGUUUGUAUUCUUAAUUGAUGGUAGGCGAGCUCGCAUUACUGGCUACUACUGUUAAUACUAGGACCUUAUUCUCGCCAUCACACAACACUCUGGUAGAUGUCACACUGGGGCCCCUGUGUGUAUCACUCUACACACUGAUCUCAUUCAGACGGAAGGCUUCAUCACCGGCUCACGAGAUAUAUAACACCAUGGUUUGGCGGCCAUUCCUACGCCAUUUGACCCAGUCCAGUCUCCGCCUGAAUGACCAGUGUGGGCGACUCAACAGUACGUGGACUGUCGGGAUCCUUGUUCUGUGUUCUUUGCUGACCUUGUACAUCCACAUGGCGUACGACCCCGUCACCUGUUGGACACCAGCUCAUUUUACAUCACAAACAGUAAAAUAUACCAAUAAGAUUUGCUGGGAAAGCUCCGCAUAUUAUCUGAGGAAUGAUGACGUAAAUAACAACAAUGAACCAUUGGAUAGCAAUCCUUCACCAAUGACGAAACCGCCGUAUCGCUGGAUACCGCUCAUUCUUCUCGUACAGGCAUUGUUGUUCAAGCUUCCUGACAUUGUCCUGUCAGUAGGACAGGGCCUUGUGGGGUUCCGAUUUACGAAGAUUUUGGGACUUACAGACGGUUACGAGACCCUUAACAUGGCUGACCGAGCACAAAUGGGGAGACAAGUAGGACGGUACGUGAAGAGCUGGAUUGAUUCCACUGUGUUGAAGGGAUGUCCGUGGGGAUGGCUUACUCUGCUGUUUCUGUUCACAAAGCUUCUUUACUUCAUCAACGUCAUCACACAAUUAUCUAUCAUGAAUGUUGUUCUGAAGGCAGAAAACCAGACUUCAUUUGUACAGCAAUUGGCCGAAGAUAUUUCGAGCAAUGAAACAUUGACUUGGCGAACCAUAGACCCUAAAUUUCUAAAAGUGUUCCUAUGUGAUUACUCUAUCCGGCAAAUAACAAAUACGAUUCGUUUUUCUGUUCAGUGCACGUUCAACAAUAUCACGUACUACGAGAUGAUGUUUGGGUUCCUUUGGGUGUGGCUAAUGAUCGUGUGUGUCAUUACUGGCCUUAGUGGUCUCUUCCAUCUGAUUUUGGCUCUGGUACCCGUAUUUCGGAGAAGAUUUGUCAAGAGUUAUCUGUACCUGUCUGAGGAAGUGGCGCCUUCUCCUUCCGACAACGACAUUGCCUGGUUUGCAGGUUCAGAGAUAACGGAGGACGGCGUAUGUAUAUUGAAGGAGAUCGGCGAGGCGUCGUCUGAACACCUAGUCAGGGAUGUAGUCCUCUAUAUGUGGUCUACCACACACGCUCAACAGAUUGAAGGGACUAGAAAUCAAUGCGUGUAUCCGCCAAACGGUAACUAUGGUAGCACACCAGAAACUCACCAAUUGCAAGAGUUCCCUCAUCAGCCAACACGUGUGGGUGUCUACCAUCAUGUUAAUGACUGAGGGCUGAAUCAGUGUAUUUAAACACUGUCUCUUCUCUUGUUGACUGAUACGUCAUGUCAAUCAUAUACAGUGAACUUCAGUAUUUGGACGUUCCCUUUACAUCUUUACUUUCUUGAUGUUUGUUCUGUACAUGAAUCUACCAACUGACAAAAAAAUUGCCAUUAGACCGUGAAUACGCUAUGAAUACAACGAUUAUCGUGCAACCGGUCAGCUGAUUUCACACACAUACAAAUCAUAUUACUACGCAUAGUACCGUUUCUAAGAAGGGUCAUCUCCCCUUCUCCGAGAAAACCUAUUUGCGAAAAUAAUAAUAAACUAACAAAAAUCAUAAAUGGUGCACCAUUGUACUAUGAUUAUUUUAAUAUGAAAUUAAAAACAAAAAAUAUAACAUGUUCAUAUUAAAUACUGACUUCCGAUUCGCAAUCGGUUCCUCGUGGUCACAAACCUUUUAACACCCACACGUCCGGCUGGGUAAUCCCCAUGAUAUCAACUCGCACAUUAAACUCAGAGAACUUUGUAUUGGCACAAGGCACUGCAUCCUUCAAUUUAUCAUCAUUUGUAUCUGCAGGUUUUUUGGCGAAAAGUAAAUCAACGGCUGUAAAUUUAACUUCAAAUGAGCUCUCUGCCUACCGCUGACGGGUGUCCUGGGUGGUUACUAUGGUGACCGAUGAUUUGAAAUAGUGCGGACAUAAACUUUUUUAAAUAUAUAAUAUGCGGUGUUUAAUGCAAAAACAACCACACCAAAUAAGAUCGACUUUCAAAAAUGAAAUGAAUAUCAAGUGUUGGUUAAUAUUAGGUAAAUAUGUAUUUUUUGUUUCAACAAAAAUCAGCUGGUCGGCGGAAGUUGAAGUUUGAAGUUUGUGUGUAGGCUGCAGUUCUGGCUGUUCCUUUUUUAUGGUUUUCUGUCCGAUACUAAUAUCAAAACUAAUAAAUUUACAAAAAGUGUUGUAACGUGCUAUUCAUUGCCGCAAUUUACAUGAAUGAACAAAAAUUCCAUUCAAUCCCUAUAUGCGACUGGCCGAAUUCUGGGAUUUUCGAGAUACACAGAUACAAUUUAUAACGAGAUGUACACACACGCUCAACAGUUUGAAGGGACUAGAAGCCAGUAGAUUUACCAUCCACGCAGUCACACUCAAGAAGUUCAACAAAUGCAAGAGAUCCACGGUCAUUCCACAAAUGAGGGUGUCUACUAUCCUAUAAAAGGCUGAGCACAGAGCCAUUGCGUCUUCCGCUGACUGACUCUUGCCGAUCAUAAACAGUUAACGUAUGCGUUAGAAUGUUUCUUCGUAAAGCGAAAGACCGAAAAAUGAACUUUGUGAUAAACAAAUGCCCAAUGUAUAACAAAACGUCAUUAAUACCACAUUGAAUUAAGGGUAAUUGCAUGUAUUAAGCUCCGAGAUUGAUAUAAAGGCUAGAUAUUUUGUCGUGUUAUGUAACAUUUUAUAUGUAUUAGCCGCUAGUCCACUUAACAGUAUAUAUACAUGUAAUCAAUUAUUACCAUUUGUCUGAUACUUUCUGUAAAUAAAGUAAUAUUUCUUAUCACAAAUCAUGCUCUUCUGCUCAGUAAACAUAGGAUAUAGUACUGAUGUUUGAGCAAAACACCCAACAUAUCUUUAACUUCUAACCAUUCCAUAGCUAGUGUGGUAAGCAUUCUAAUAAGCAACCUUAUGAGACGAACUAUCAAUUUGAACAUUUAGAACACGCUCUACAUUACGUCCAUUACGGCGUGUUCAUAAUUCAUUCUGUCCUUGUGGUGAGGUAUGAACAACGUCAUUAAAGCAUAAAGGAUAAAAUCUCAAAGAAAACCAAAGCGUUCUCUGCAGCAUGUGAGUACGAUAACAGACGUGGUGAUUAGUGGAAGUGGAUUAUGCUGGAUACAAUCAAUGACAACUUACCUUAUAGAUGUUCUCGUCAAAGGCACAUGCAAAGCCCGACACAAGACGCAGCAGUGUUGCCAGGUAUUCAGAGUCCGAUAUCAAAGCAUGUAGAAAAAUCUUGCUUUGUUGACUCGAUAUUUUGAGUACACGACAUAAGAAAUAUAUUAACCUUCACAUUAUCCACUAC
rnacentral:misc_RNA from 1 species